GUUGAGAUGGCUGAGUUGGUUUAAGGCGCCAGUUUUGGUUCAAAAGAGCGUGUGUUCAAAUCCCACUGUCAACA
rnacentral:tRNA from 1 species